rnacentral:misc_RNA from 1 species
UCUACUUUUUCCGCCAUUUUUAUUUUAAAGUACAUCAUAUUAAAAUGUGGUUCAUACUGAAAUUUGUAUAAGAGUCAUGAACAUAAACGGCAUUACUGCAUCCAAGAUAUUUGACUGGAUAAAUUAGUAAGACUUGAAAUGAGCAACGAAAAUAUCUUGGCUGAGCUUAAACCAUGUGGUUAUAUAUUGGCUACAAGCCAAUACAAGUUUUUCGGAUUAAAAUGUCUUUAUUGCGAUAAAAAAUAUGGUUACUGGACCAUGUUUUUGCAACAUUUAAAGGACUUCCACAUAGACAAUCAGUCUGAGACCCAAUGGCUGUUUGAUUGUGCUGAAGAAACACUGGAUCCAGAUUCGGAAAAUGUUGAAUGUUCAACUCAAUGUGAUAGAUUAACAGAUAUAUUUGCAAAGGAAGAUGUCAUGCCAUCUACCAAUAUUUUCGAUAUAGAGGACGUAUUAAUUGAAAAAGAUGUCAAUGACAGAACGAAUACCAAAGUUGCUGUAGAAAAAUCUGUAUUUUCAAUAAGCGAAGUAAUGAAUGAGAAUUUGGACGACUCAUUGCACGACUUUACAGAUUUCACGGAAGCAUUACCACAUGCAUGCCAAAAUUUUACAAAACUUCAUAUUGAUUUAAAAGAGGAAAAUUACAUAACUCAGAAGUUUAUUGAAAUAUAUAAAAAAUUUUCACAUCUUUGGCGCUUAGAACAAGUUAUUUCGAAUGAAGAUAACGCACAAAGUCAAGAUAUGCACGAUAUGCGGAAAUGCCUUUCCGAAGAAAAUAUUCGAAUUUCGACGGAAAUUUUAGAAGAAGCCCUAAAUCAAGUACACCUUCAAUACCGUACUAUAGCCAGUAGGUUAGAAGAAGGUAUAGAAAUUUCUGAUAUUGAAGAGAAAUAUUACGACAUGUGUUCAUUUUUGAAAACGAGUAAUGAGUUAUCUGAGGCUAAUUAUGAUAGUGAAAGUGGCGAAACAAUUAGUGAUAGCAAUGAUAAUAAGUUUACAUUGGAAAAUUAUAGUAUCGAAGAUUCCCAAAAUGGUUUUGACAUAAUGGAUGGUGAAGCUUUUCAAAAUAGUUUGAUCGAUAGACAAUCACUUGUAAAAUUUUCAACACGUAAUAAGAUUACAUCUGAUUUCAUACAAUGUUUGCAUGAUCAGCCUUGCUUAUGGGAUCCGCAAGCUUCUGCAUGUAAUGACUCAAACUUGCACUCAAAAGCUAUAAAAAAAUUGCAGGACUUUUUUCAAAACAACUAUAAUCUGCGACUUACCGAAAGAAAAAUUAAUUCUGAAAUAAAUCGUGUAUACAAGUUUUACAAAAGAUGUCUAUGUGCACGACAAAGCCUUAAUCCCAAUCGCAAAUAUUAUUUUGAACGCUGCGAAUUUCUGGCUCUUGCAGAAUUGGAGGAUGUGUCUGUUAAACGUAGGCACCUACAAGGGAAAAUCUCAUUCUCCGUAAUGGAUGAAUUUACACUUGGCUUUAUCGACUUCUGCGCCAUGCAUCCUGUCUUGUGGGAUAGAACACAUUCUCAGUAUUCUAUUUUGAAUGCACGUAAAGUGGCUUAUGAGGAAAUUACAAAAAAUUUACUACAGAUCUACAAUGUAGAAUUCAGUAAUGAUGAAAUUUAUCAUUCCAUAUCACGACUGAAACGUCAUUAUAAGAUCUUGCAAUGUAAAAAACAACUAAAUGAAUCGAUGGCACCAUACGAGUUAGAAUUAUUUGAGCGCUGUAGCUUUCUGGAAAACUCGAAUAACUUACAAUGUGAUAUAUGUGGAAAAAUAUUUCGUAGCUAUUCAACACUACAAACACAUUUGUUAAAAUCGCAUAGUAUUGGCGAGCUACCAAUUAAAUGUGACUAUUGUGAACAACGUUUUGCUCACCCAAGUUUGAAAAAAGAGCAUGAGGUACGCGCACAUACAAAAGAAUUCGAAUGGUUCUGUCCAUAUUGUAGUAAGGGCUUUGCAAAUCGCCGUGAUAUGGAAAUGCAUCAAAUGGUACACACUGGUGAGCAUAAAAGUGUUUGUGAACAUUGUGGCAAGGGUUUUCGACUGAAAAAUCAAAUGACGGAGCAUGUAAAGGUUAUCCAUGAACGUUUGCGACGUUUCAAGUGUACCAUGUGUCCUAAAGAUUUCGUACGCAAACGUCAGCUCGACGAUCAUAUACGUGCUCAUUUAAAUAUACGUGAUAAAAUCUGCGAUAUAUGUGGAAAAGGAUUUACAAAUACACAUGGACUAUUUCGGCACAAACAAUUACAUUCGGAUAUUAAGAAAUAUGAAUGCAAAGUAUGCGGCGACCGAUUUUAUCGACUAUGCGAUUUGUAUUCUCAUAGAAAACGAAAACACGAGGCCGUACCGAAACAGAAAAAUAAUGCAUCGCAAGAGGAGGAGGACGAUGCAAAUGCUUUCUUGUGAAUAAAGCAAUUUGGUCAAUUCCAUGCUUACACUUGUGUCACUCACGACAUACAUUCUACAUUGAAGGCUUCAUAAUUCAACCGUUUACUUACUACAAAGCAUCUAUAAUAAUUUGUACUUCUGCUAAUUUGUUCUUUAUGCACAU